rnacentral:rRNA from 1 species
AGUUCUCGUUGAUGAUCGGUGCUUGCACCGAGAUUCAACAUGGAACGAGUGGCGGACGGGUGAGUAACACGUGGGUAACCUGCCCUUAAGUGGGGGAUAACAUUUGGAAACAGAUGCUAAUACCGCAUAGAUCCAAGAACCGCAUGGUUCUUGGCUGAAAGAUGGCGUAAGCUAUCGCUUUUGGAUGGACCCGCGGCGUAUUAGCUAGUUGGUGAGGUAAUGGCUCACCAAGGCGACGAUACGUAGCCGAACUGAGAGGUUGAUCGGCCACAUUGGGACUGAGACACGGCCCAAACUCCUACGGGAGGCAGCAGUAGGGAAUCUUCCACAAUGGACGCAAGUCUGAUGGAGCAACGCCGCGUGAGUGAAGAAGGCUUUCGGGUCGUAAAACUCUGUUGUUGGAGAAGAAUGGUCGGCAGAGUAACUGUUGUCGGCGUGACGGUAUCCAACCAGAAAGCCACGGCUAACUACGUGCCAGCAGCCGCGGUAAUACGUAGGUGGCAAGCGUUAUCCGGAUUUAUUGGGCGUAAAGCGAGCGCAGGCGGUUUUUUAAGUCUGAUGUGAAAGCCCUCGGCUUAACCGAGGAAGCGCAUCGGAAACUGGGAAACUUGAGUGCAGAAGAGGACAGUGGAACUCCAUGUGUAGCGGUGAAAUGCGUAGAUAUAUGGAAGAACACCAGUGGCGAAGGCGGCUGUCUGGUCUGUAACUGACGCUGAGGCUCGAAAGCAUGGGUAGCGAACAGGAUUAGAUACCCUGGUAGUCCAUGCCGUANACGAUGAAUGCUAGGUGUUGGAGGGUUUCCGCCCUUCAGUGCCGCAGCUAACGCAUUA